rfam:Gossypium arboreum cultivar AKA8401 contig_26136_1, whole genome shotgun sequence.
UGUUAAAAAGUUCAUCCAUUUCUAGUGUUAAAAAUUGGUUUGGCUAACAAAACAAUCAGAAAAUUAGACAUGACUUGCUAUGUGUACCUCAUGUUGAUUUAAGUAGAAAUUGAUGAAAUUUUUAAUA